AAGGGCACCACAAGAACGCGUGGAGCAUGUGGCUUAAUUUGACUCAACGCGGGAAAUCUUACCGGGUCCGGACACACUGAGGAUUGACAGGCAAUAUUAUUUAAAUGAACUUCGGUUUGUUUUUAUAUGUAAAUAUGCUAGUCCUUUCAUGAUUAUGUGAUAGGUGGUGCAUGGCCGUUCUUAGUUCGUGGAGUGAUCUGUCUGCUUAAUUGCGUUUCACUAAGAGCUUAUAUAUAAACGUAUGUUUGCUCUCAUAUUUGACCCCCGUUUGAUUUUUCUUCUUCGGAGGAUUUCAUUGAACGUGUGUGUUGUCAUUUGUGUUUCAAGCAUCAUACAAUUAAGCUCUGAAAGCAACGAACGUGACCGCAACCUCUUGUUGCCUCUAAUUUAAUUUUUUUUUUCCUUCGGGAAGAGAGAAUGCAAAAGAGGCUUUAAAACUAGAGGGACCGCUGUAACUUUUUUAAACCAGAGGAAGGUUGCGGCAAUAACAGGUCUGUGAUGCCCUUAGAUGUUCCGGGCUGCACACGUGCUACAAUGAUUGUUGCAGUGAGCAUCUCAAAUAAACACCGUGGUCAAGCUAAUUUGGUGUACUUUGAUUGUUUGAUGGUCGAUUUCGGUUGAUCGUUGGACUUUCUUUGUUAUCCUUAUUCAGUCAGACUCGGUUAAGCCUGCUUCGAAAGUAAGUAGGUAAUCAAUCCGAAGUAACGAUUUCCCAACUUUAGCACACCUAUAUGCGGCGUUUAUACCCUGGCAUUUGCUUGUCAAGUGUUUUUGUGUGUAUAGAUGUUUUCUGCAUGUGCUUUUGUCAAUUCAAGGUGGGGACAAACCAUUGUUAAUUGUUGGUUUCGGUCUUAACUAGGAAUGCCUUGUACGGGUCUUUGGUUCAACAAACCACCCGGAAUACGUCCCUGCCCUUUGUACACACCGCCCGUCGCUCUUACCGAUGGACUUAUCUGUGAGUUUGAGGGACUGGAUAUUUAACUUUCGAGUUAAUCUUCUAUGGAAACUUAAACGAACAGGUUGGUCUAAAGGAAAGAGAAGUCGAACAAGGCA
rnacentral:rRNA from 1 species